rnacentral:rRNA from 1 species
UACGUAGGGUGCAAGCGUUGUCCGGAAUUAUUGGGCGUAAAGAGCUCGUAGGCGGCCAACUAAGUCAGACGUGAAAUCCCUCGGCUUAACCGGGGAACUGCGUCCGAUACUGGUUGGCUUGAAUCCGGGAGAGGGAUGUGGAAUUCCAGGUGUAGCGGUGAAAUGCGUAGAUAUCUGGAGGAACACCGGUGGCGAAGGCGGCAUCCUGGACCGGUAUUGACGCUGAGGAGCGAAAGCCAGGGGAGCAAACGGG